rnacentral:rRNA from 1 species
ACGCUCGACACCUACGGGGGCAGCAGUGGGGAAUAUUGCACAAUGGGGGAAACCCUGAUGCAGCGACGCCGCGUGGAGGAAGAAGGUCUUCGGAUUGUAAACUCCUGUUGUUGGGGAAAAAGAGGAUGGUACCCAACAAGGAAGUGACGGCUAACUACGUGCCGACAGCCGCGGUAAUCUGAGCGGGCUGGCAAGGC